rnacentral:rRNA from 1 species
AUUGAACGCUGGCGGCAGGCCUAACACAUGCAAGUCGAACGGGAACAGGAAGCAGCUUGCUGCUUCGCUGACGAGUGGCGGACGGGUGAGUAAUGUCUGGGAAGCUGCCUGAUGGAGGGGGAUAACUACUGGAAACGGUAGCUAAUACCGCAUAAUGUCGCAAGACCAAAGAGGGGGACCUUCGGGCCUCUUGCCAUCGGAUGUGCCCAGAUGGGAUUAGCUUGUUGGUGGGGUAACGGCUCACCAAGGCGACGAUCCCUAGCUGGUCUGAGAGGAUGACCAGCCACACUGGGAUUGAGACACGGUCCAGACUCCUACGGGAGGCAGCAGUGGGGAAUAUUGCACAAUGGGCGCAAGCCUGAUGCAGCCAUGCCGCGUGUAUGAAGAAGGCCUUCGGGUUGUAAAGUACUUUCAGCGGGGAGGAAGGGAGUAAAGUUAAUACCUUUGCUCAUUGACGUUACCCGCAGAAGAAGCACCGGCUAACUCCGUG